GUCUUUUUGGUAUUUAAUAUAAAGUCUAACCUGCCCACUGAAUAAUUUUUAAAGGGCCGCAGUAUUUUGACUGUGCAAAGGUAGCAUAAUCAUUAGUCUUUUAAUUGAAGGCUGGUAUGAAUGGUUGAAUAAAAUGCAAGCUGUGUCAUAAAAAUUAAUAAUUGAAUUUAACUUUUUAGUUAAAAGGCUAAAAUUUAAUUAAAAGACGAGAAGACCCUAUAGAGCUUUAUAUAAUAAUUAUUUAAAUUAUUAAGAUUUUUAAAAUUUAAUUUUUAUAUUGUAUUUUGUUGGGGUGACAAUAAAAUUUAAAAAACUUUUAUUUAAAAUUUACAUUAAUUUAUGAUUAAAUGAUCCAUUUCUAUUGAUUAUAAAUUUAAGUUACCUUAGGGAUAACAGCGUAAUUUUUUUUGAGAGUUCUUAUCGACAAAAAAGAUUGCGACCUCGAUGUUGGAUUAAGAGUAAUUUUGGGUGUAGAAGUUCAAAAUUUAAGUCUGUUCGACUUUUAAAUUCUUACAU
rnacentral:rRNA from 1 species